UAGAGUUUGUCUGUUUUUUUGGCUUUUAGGGGGCUAAACAAAACAUCUGAAAAGAUUAAAAAUUGUUUGCUUUUAACAAAUUUGCGUGUUUUACACUAUGAAAAUGUUGCUUUUACAGAAGAUAUCAGCCUGAGCUAUUUUUGAAUAGUUAUGUUUCGAGCGAUUUUGCUUUGUUUGGGCAUCUAUCUUCUGUCAGAGUAAUAAUUUAGCAAAAUUCCAUUUAAAAAAUUAUAUAGCUUGAUAGCUAUAGAACCUUGAAUGUUGAAAACGGAUAAAAAUAGGAAUGGGCAUUUUGGGAUCCGUCUUUUCACAAUCAAGGUUUUAUGGCCAAAGUUUUUAACAAAAACGAUUUAUCAACACUUCACUAAUCGUUCUGAAUGAUAUUUUUUGUUAAUUUACUUGGUCAAAGUAAGAAUUUUGCAUAAUGAAAAAAAAAAUCAAAUUCAUUGAGCAAUAGCAUACAAUUUUGAAAAAGUUAAACAUCUCAGAUUCGAUCUUGUAAAGCAUUUUAGGAAUCCAAUAACCUUAAAUGUUUAAAAAUGUACCUCAAAACAAUGUCCUUCUCUAGUUAGAUUUUGUGCUCCCCUUUAUUUUAAGCACUUUUCUGUCAAUCCAAGAGAUAAUGUGUAAUCAAGGAAAUUACACGAGGAAUUUUCAUAUUUUUGUUUACAAAUAAAUCCAAUGUUGUAACUUUAUGUUAUGAAAUCUAAAUACAGGGUGUCCCACGGAAUAUGACAAUAGCAAGCAGACUUAAAGGUCGUGUUUAUUUUUGAUACAAUUUUCCGCAUUUAGUUGUCAACCUAACUUAGAAGUACAAUUCUAGAGAUAAUAAGCAUAAAGUCUAGGAGAGUUUUGUGGUUAUUAAUUCAAGAAUCAGACAUGUUAAAUUUAGUUGACGAUUGAAUGUCAUGAAUAAAUUCAAAGAUCAAAGAGGAGACGACUUGCCAGUACACUUAUUUGUAAACAAAGAAAUUGGGGGCCUGGUGUAACUUCCUAUUGUGUAAUUAUUCCUGUAAUUUAUCUAAAUAUUUAUUAGUUAAUAAAUUAUUAUAAUUUUA